rnacentral:rRNA from 1 species
UACGUAGGCAGCGAGCGUUGUUCGGAAUUACUGGGCGUAAAGAGUGUGUAGGCGGUGCUCCCAGUCUGUUGUGAAAUCUCCCGGCUUAACUGGGAGGGUGCAGCGGAAACUAGAGUGCUAGAGGGUGGGAGAGGUAAGCGGAAUUCCUGGUGUAGCGGUGAAAUGCGUAGAUAUCAGGAGGAACACCUGUGGUGUAGACAGCUUACUGGACCACUUCUGACGCUGAGACACGAAGGCGUGGGUAGCAAACAGG